rnacentral:rRNA from 1 species
AUUGAACGCUGGCGGCAGGCCUAACACAUGCAAGUCGAGCGGACGAAGGGAGCUUGCUCCUGGAUUCAGCGGCGGACGGGUGAGUAAUGCCUAGGAAUCUGCCUGGUAGUGGGGGAUAACGUCCGGAAACGGGCGCUAAUACCGCAUACGUCCUGAGGGAGAAAGUGGGGGACCUUCGGACCUCACGCUAUCAGAUGAGCCUAGGUCGGAUUAGCUAGUUGGUGGGGUAAAGGCCUACCAAGGCGACGAUCCGUAACUGGUCUGAGAGGAUGAUCAGUCACACUGGAACUGAGACACGGUCCAGACUCCUACGGGAGGCAGCAGUGGGGAAUAUUGGACAAUGGGCGAAAGCCUGAUCCAGCCAUGCCGCGUGUGUGAAGAAGGUCUUCGGAUUGUAAAGCACUUUAAGUUGGGAGGAAGGGCAGUAAGUUAAUACCUUGCUGUUUUGACGUUACCAACAGAAUAAGCACCGGCUAACUUCGUG